rnacentral:rRNA from 1 species
CCGGCGACUGGCGCACGGGUGAGUAACACGUAUGCAACCUGCCCUCCGCAGGGGGAUAACCCGGAGAAAUCCGGACUAAUACCGCGUGGUACACCAGUGGGGCAUCCCACGGGUGUUAAAAGGAAGCGAUUCCGGCGGAGGAUGGGCAUGCGGCGCAUUAGCUUGUUGGCGGGGUAACGGCCCACCAAGGCGACGAUGCGUAGGGGUUCUGAGAGGAAGGUCCCCCACACUGGUACUGAGACACGGACCAGACUCCUACGGGAGGCAGCAG